GAUGAACGCUGGCGGCGUGCCUAAUACAUGCAAGUAGAACGCACAGUCUAUACCGUAGCUUGCUACACCAUAGACUGUGAGUUGCGAACGGGUGAGUAAUGCGUAGGUAACCUGCCUGGUAGCGGGGGGUAACUAUUGGAAACGAUAGCUAAUACCGCAUAAUAUUAAUUAUUGCAUGAUAAUUGAUUGAAAGAUGCAACUGCAUCACUACCAGAUGGACCUGCGAUGUAUUAGCUAGUAGGUGAGGUAACGGCUCACCUAGGCGACGAUACAUAGCAGAACCUGGAAGGUGGUCGGCCACACUUGGACUUGAACCCGGCCCAGGAUCCUUCGGGAAGGAGCAGGAGGGGAACUUCGGCAAUUGGGCAAAAUCUUGACGAACAACGCCGCGGGGGGUGAGAAGGUUUUCGGGUUGUAAAACCCUGUUGUAUGGGAAGAACGAGUGUGAGAGUUGAAAGUUCACACUGUGACGGUACCUUACCAGAAAGCGACGGCUAACUACGUG
rnacentral:rRNA from 1 species